rnacentral:lncRNA from 1 species
CUUUUCUUUUUAUACUCCUUGUGUGAGCCUUUAAGGCAGGUCUAGUGGCAGUGGGGCUGGCUCGGCGGAUCCCUGUCAGUCACUUUGCUCUCGUACUAAGUGUACUUUUGUGCCAUUUAAGCAGCCGAUGGUGUCAUUGGCGUUGAGAGUGCAGCUUCUACAGCUCACACUGAAGGCUUUGGGGACCCAGGAGGGCGCGAGUUGUUUUAAGAUACAUGGCCAUUUGACAUACCCGUGUUAAGUUCAAUCUUGCUACAAAAGAAGGCCAUUUGUACUUCCUGACCCUGAAAGCAAGAACUGUGUCUCUUUAAAUCUACUGAGGAAGAUAUUCCUUCUGGCCCACAGGAUGCCAAAAUGACUCGAUGAUUUAUUUAUGCAGCGCUUGGCAGCCCAUCGUCCAGAUUGUGGCUGAAGCUGAAUUUUAUGAGCCUUCCCCCAAUCACUGGGAGAAUGGUAGAAGGAAUGAUGAGCUUUCCCUGAAGGUUCCAGCUUCUUCCUGCCACUAUUCUCUAGGGUGGGGUCACCUUCAUCUGGUUCCAGGAUGCAGCAUGCCCAGGUCUAAGAAGUCACCCCUUUUGUUACAGUCACUAGACUUUAUCAGGCUCUCCUGUACUUCUUUUUCAGGGGCCAUCGCUCUACAGUCAAUGUAGAAAAUUGGAGCAUCACAGUGUCAGAUCAUUCCCACGCUAUCAAACCAAAUAUGACCAGUUGCUACUCUGAUCAAGGCUGACAGUUUGUCACACACUACUACUGCAGAGGCCAGAGCAUUUUGAAAGGCAAGAAACAGAACGGAAAUGGAGAGGAGAGCCCAGCAUGACUUGCGCCGUGCCAAAGGAAUACGUGUGAAGAAAUAUCUUGAAAGAGCCAGGUUGGUCCAGACCUGCUGGCAAGCCUGCAGCCCCAUCCACCGAUUACCUAAUACACUUGUGACAUCUGCUUUCCUUGUUGUGAGAAAACACAGGGAGGAAGUGUGUGCAGAAGGGGUGAUGCCUGACCUACACACCCGGCAAUACCAGAAGUUUCACUACCUUCCGUUGGUAAACGCUUCAGGGAAGGCUCUGCAACCCUGAACGUGUUUUAUUGUAGAACCUCACUAGGAAACUCAUCAGUAUUUAUUAAAGAUGAAUUAAAAGAAGGAGGAAAAGGAAAAACGGGAUAGUGAAGAGAAUAGAUGAAUGAAAAAGAAGCAAAGGGAAGAGAGGAGGAAGGGACAAAGAGGGCAAGAAAAGAGAAAAGAGAGAUGAGAGACCAGGACUUCCCACCUAACCUUACCAAACUUUUUCAGUUGAGCUUUUAAUGGGAUACUAUUCCCAAGAGGAAAUUCAAAAAGAAAACCACCUUGAAACAUCCUUGCUUUUAAUUGUACUCUUUCAACUGCCAGGAAAUUAAUUAGGUAAGACAAAAAGAAAAUUUUCUACCUUAAUAAAAAGAAGCCAACACCCAGGAACAACUGUCUUUGCUUGAGAACAGUGUUACGUGUACAAAGCUGCCUACAAAGUGUCUCCCGCCUGGCUCAGGCAAGAAACUGGGACAGAAGUCUGUGAUGUUAUACCAGCCUGGGAGUCGUGCAUGGUCAUGUCAGUGUCGAGUGCACCAGGCGACACAGGGACAUGCCAGGCACCGCUCCUCCAGAGAGACUUGCCAGGUAUACAUGUUACCUCUCUCCCUUAGGCUUCACAGACUCGGCGGCCUUCCUCCAACCACCUGUCUCCUUAGGAAGUUUGAGAGAACUUUCUCCUCUGUGAUACAAACAGUAACCAAACAAAGCAGUAAACAAUCCAGUGUGGAAAGCACAUACUAAAGCUAAGAUUUAAUGUCACUGAAAUAAAAUCAUAACAACAAAAAACUCCAAGUACCCUUUCUUUGCAUAAUGUAUUUCAGGUGUCCAGCUACAGAGGCCAAGCCUGUGAUUUACAUCAAGCAAAGAGUCCUGGGAGAAAGAGGAGGAAAGACCGCCUUUGCCUGGGACAAGAUUCCUAUUUGUGUCAAGGAGAGUUAGGGACGAGAUGGUUGAGGCAGAGCAGCUGACUGCAGUCUUUAUCCAGUUUGCAUUGCUUUGGGGAAAGCCUUUUAACUGCAAGCCGGAUUGUCCAGAUGCUGGGCUGUCCGGAUGCUGGAUGGUCCAGAUGCUUUGUCGUGGUUGUUCCCUCUGAGUUUCCUCUGCCUUCUGGCUCCUCUUAGUCACCUUCACAACAGGGCUUUAUCAGGACUCUAGAGCAUCGGGCAAGCUCAGGUCUCACCUCUCCUUUUAAUUCUGCAGGAGUCUAUGCCAUGUACUCCAGCCCUGCAUAGAAUGAGUUCUGGAGUUCACCUGGAGCCCACGGAGAGUGGAUGUGGAACUUUUCUGUAGAACAUAGGAGCCGUCUGUACCGGCACAGCUUCAGCCAGCAAUAAGCAUUACCAGCUCCUGCCAGAGGAGCAAGAGGCAGCCACUGAGCUAUAGAGAUCCACACUCCGUCCCUCGUACAACUGCCGCUGUGACCACCUUCUCCUUUCUGCUUUAUUACGUCUGAGAAGCAUUUCAUAUGAUAACCUUCCCUUUCACUCUGGCCUGGACCCUUAUUGAAAAGGAAGAAGCAGUGGAAGAGAUCAGACAAGCAGUGUUGUUCGAGACACUUCCUAAUUCCCUUAACAAGGGUUAUGAAGUUUCGGCUGGGAAAAAGGACAAGGGGCAGAGACAGUGUUUAUUUACAGAAUGGUUCUAGAAGAGCUGACAGGCUUCGAAUGGCCGUGGGUUGUACGGUUUUGACAUUUAACAAUUUUAUUAACAUCUUUGCUUAUUAUUCACCUUAAUCUUCAGCGUCUGCAGCCAGGAAGGAGUGUGCCCAGCUGACAGCCUGUGUCUCAGGCCCUGCCAGGGGAUGAAUCAAUUAGCAGGAGAAGCCAUGAUGCAAACGUUCUGGGGUCACUUGAGAGGCUGUUUGCCUUUCUGAUAGAGAAAGCACACCAUAAAUACCAUCACACCUCAGGAAAUCAUCCCGGGAGGCCCAGAUGCUAGCACGACGGCUGUCACUGCUGUGGGGACAGAGGGAAUCCUUGGCUCCCUGGGUGGAUUUCCCUCAUGCCGGUCAAUAGAAGAUUUGUAGUGAAAUCAAAAUAUUUUAAAGGAGGACAGUGUGCGGUAACAGAGGCUUGUUUAGCUUUUUUUUUUAAGUACCAGAACCCAUGAUUUAUGACCCACAGUUACAACCAACUUUAUUACAAAAAUGACUUCACCCAUAAUAACCUUAUUCAGGAAUCCUUACAGAAUGAUGUAGUAUCCCCAAAGCAUUAUAAGCUAGCAAAUAUUCACAAACAAUUCCUACUGCUGUCCCUUUUCCCCACCCACUCAGUGGUAGGGUAGGAUUCCCCCCCACCCCUUUUUUUUUUUUUUAACCAGCUGGGAGAAAGAGGUCCCAGACAAGCUUCUAUAUUCUUUUGGUAGACAUUUGCCAGGUCAGGCAUUUCAAAUCACCCAGGACAGAGGCUGCCUCCUAGCUUCGACCUUUAUCUUCCCCAACCAGUGCCCUGGGCAACAGCACAGGGCUCCAUUCACCUUCACUGCCUCCCUGAGCAUCCCUGUCUCCCUCCCUCGUUGGAUACCCAGUAUCUGGGGGUAGCUUCAUGAAGUCCCUCCCCUUUUAAUUGCCAUGGUAACCGACAGCUGCAUUAAAAUGGCCAGGACUUGGGGGGUCCAAGCAAUGUCCCUCGGGUGUGCCUGGAUCUAGGAACUGGUUCUCUAUCUUAUUAAACUCAGGUGUCAGUCCCUAGCAUUUGUGUUAAAUUUACACCCUCCAAGUCGGUCAGUGGGAUUACAUGUCCAUUUGCAUUAAAACAGGUUUCUGUCAUUAAACUGCCAUACAAUGAGCGUCCUUGGGACAAAUUAAUGAGCUCUAAAUAUCAUCAAGUAGAGAAGUUCACUUCACCAAGACAGCCACCGUGGGGUCGGAGGGGGUGGCUGCUCACUGUUCUCACCCAAGAGAACCGUAAGCGCCAGCUAAAGACGGUCUCAUCCUGCUUCUCCAUCGAAAGAUGAGUGUCAUGAUUUAGAGCCCUCUGAGGAGCUGGUGAGUUCUCCCCUAGCCUGGCCCUAGAGCUCGUCUCUUCCUAUUCCUUAUUCCAGACAUGCUGAUAGCAUUGACUUUGUCUGCUCAAAAUCACUGAACAACCAUUGGCUUCCUUCCUAUGUGACAGUGCUUCAGCUUCAUUUCUCUUUCCUUGCUUUCUGAUGUUAAGGACCAUCUGUGUACAGUGUGGCCUGGUAACAGAAUGCACACAACACAGUGACAGGGGUAGCCACAGAGUGGGCCUCUACUCUAAAACACCCUCCAGAGUAUGUGUUAGUAGAGCAGUUGGCCCAUGAGUUGGGUGGGGGCCUAUCCUCUGGAAAACUGGUUUUCCUGGAAGUUCCUUUCCCAGUUGUCUAAAAGGUAUCUGUGUGUGUGUGUGUGUGUGUGUGUGUGUGUGUGUGUGUGUGUGUGUGUGUGUGUACGCACAGGAACACAUGCCCAUGUGCCAUAAUACAUCUGUGGAGGUCAGAGGACAGCUUGAAGAAGUUGGAUCUUGACUUUUACCAUGUGGAUCCUGGGAGCUGAACUCAGCUUGCCGAACUUGGAAGCGGAUACCCGAGCCAUCUUGGAAGCCCCUAGGGGAGACUUCCUUUAAGACUGAAUUCUUUCUGUUCACAAGCAUAGUUAGUGUUUGCCCUCACAAAUACAUAAUAGGUAGAAAUUAUCAGAAACUAAUAAAUAAAGCCCCAAGCUUUCUCUUACAUAGAGCCAAGAGGCUGCUAGAUGAACCUCCUCCACCGCACUCUGAUCUCAUUUCUGUGCGGCCCUAACAGGGGACAGUAAUGUAUGAUUGAGACACUGCUACAUUUAGGAAUGACAAGAUGGGCAUUAUUAAUAGCUUAAUUGACAUUAAGGCAAUUACCCCUACCCUUAUUACAGUUUGUAGAAUUACUCAGAAAAUAUUGGCUGAGCCCUUUCUUUCCCUAGAGCUACCCAAGGAUACAGCAUUUUAUUUCAUGCCAGAUCUCGGCUUUGACAUUAGAUACUUAGCCAUAGAAUGAUUCCAGUAAAUCAUUAUAAAUGCAUUAUAAUAAAGAUGUUAUGAGCUAUCAGAUAUUAACCCCCAACCCCUAAAGAGAGAUAAAUAGUUCAGUUGCUUGGUUCCCACUAUUGUUUCAUCAGAAAUAAGCUUUUGCAAGGAGCAACUGACUAAUGAAUUAUAAAAUGGUGUGCUGAGCUCAGAUAAUUAAACAAUGCAUUUUAGUGUCUAGUGCAAGAUGAACACUAAAUCAUACACAGAUAAAAAAAGGGGGGGAAAUCUAAACCCAGGCCCAACUCCUAGUCUCAAAGAGAGUUAAGGUAGUAGGCUACAAUGCAGCAAUGUGUUGGACAUUUUCUCACCUGAUUCCAGGGGCCUGCCAAAUAAGAUCAAGACACAAAUGGUUUAACUCAACCAAGAGACAGAACAGAGUUCUGGAGGUGUUAAUUUCAGAUAAGCCUACAAGGCUAUUUUAAAGGACAUUUUACAUGGAGGUUACUUUUUUUAUCCCCCAAAGUGCUCGUGGGCCCUAAAUAUAAGAACCUAGAAGUUUUUAAGUUUCCUCCGACUCUCCAUCCAGCUUUUACUUUUGAUCUCUGAACUCACAGUGAAGCCUAUUAAUGGAAGUUUGCAGAUCAGUGUAGAAACCAUGGUGUUGACGAUUUUCUUGGCCUUAAAGCAUUGCAAAGACAAAGCCUGCUGCGGAGGUGGGGUGAGUAGGAUUUGAGUUCGGAUCAUUAUGCUCAGGUAGGUCUCUACACCCCACAAGGCUCCAUCUAGUGGUCAAUUUUAGAUGAUCACGACAUUUUUCUCUGGCUUUGCCAUCAAGGUUGGUCUGUUAAAUUAUGUGUUUUAGUCACCCAGCCUCCCAAAAGUCAUGGGGACCACCUUGGGAUAGCUUCUUGUUUACUGCUCAAGCUUCAUACUUCUAAGGAUUUGAAAGAAAAACUGCCUCAGAUCAUUCGGGAACAAGGACUGACCACCUGUGCCCAGGGACAGGGUUUCUGUCAACUCCGGGUCCAUGUGAAUCACUCCGCCUUUUCCUGUGCUCUGGUUAACCUGGGCACCACAACUGGAUCCUUUCAUCACAACCACUUCACUUUAACUGACCUCUCUAAAGUUUAUUUCCUUCAAAGGUACAAUGAAAAUAAUACAAUAAUGCUUACCCAUCACAUCAUGCAGACAUGAGUAAGUCUACUCAUGCAAAAUAAUUGUUAUCUCUUUUCAUUUUAUUGUCUCAUUUUUAAUCCUAUGUCUCUCCUUACCCAUUAUUUUUUCUUCUAAUCCCCAUCCUCCCUCUCUCUCUCUCUCUCUCUCUCUCUCUCACACACACACACACACACACACACACACACACACACACACACACACACAUUUGUGAAUCUAUGACUUGAAAACUUCUGCCAAAUUUACUCAAGUCAUCUUCCUUGGGUCUUGCAUGGGGUUGUUUGUGGUACCAAUUCUGUAAAAGCUACCUACCCCUGAGCUAUAUUAAUCAUCACAGCUACUGGUAACAGUUAAUGUCUUCCGACUGCUUAAUAUAAGCCAGGCGGUACGCUAAGUAUCAUCAGCUUGUUAAAUUUUCACAAGCAUAUGAGGCAAGUACUAUUUUCAUCUUCAUCUUAAGGGAAAUUAAAGCUUAAAGAUGUUAUGUAACUUGCUGAAGGUCAUGAAAGCUCCAAAGCAGAAAGCCAAGCUACUUGCUAAGAAUCAGCCUGAAUCUGAAGGCUCGUUUCUUCAGGCUGGUUUUGUCAUCUCUCUCUUCUUCUACACUGGCCUUAUCAAGGGACCUCAUGAGCUUGUGCCCACUCUUAGCUGGAGUGCAACCUGGUUUACAAUUGCCCCAAAGUUGCUUAUUUUGAAACUCCUGGGACAUUAUAUAAAACCACACCAAAAGACUUUUAUUACUAUACACAACUUCAUUUCAUUUUGAAAGAAUAUGUCUGCAGGAGGUGACACACUCGGUUGUGCAUUCAGGUUGGAACAGUCCCGCCUUACUUGACACCUUGGAUGGCUGGCAGCCACCCUCCACCACUGUCACAAGAGACUGAUAACCUCCCAGUCUUGCUCAGAACACUGGUGCUUCCUAAUGACCCAAGACUCACAAAUCUCAUCCCUUCCUUAAUUGAAGGUGUAAAUGAAGGGGAGGGAGCAAUCCAACCUUAGGGAUAAAUUAUCUUAGCAAUUUAAGAUUGCUGUAUUAUCAGAUAAAAGGCAGGUGUGAGUUUGCUGAAAGUGUUGUGCCUGGAAGCAAAAGUCCACACAAGGAGUUGCAGUGAGGUUAUGGGGGGCAUCUGUGUAGCAAAAAGACAGAGGCAAGGAGGGGGUCUAGCUGAAAGUAGUGGUCUGUUUGCUUUAAGCUUGUCUCCACUUGUAUUUCAAAGCACAUCAGAUGGAUAUUUUUCCCACAGUCUUCACACAUGGUCCUGAUUCUGACCAAGUGCUGUGGAUAGUCACUGCUAGUGUCUCAGUGUCAGGCACACUGUCCUUUGAGGCACACAGCAGCUGUACUACUUGGAUCCUUUGCAGUUGGACAAGCCAGUGGUCUGUCUACUAUUUUGAUCGGAGCUACUGUGUGUGCCAAAAGCAUGUCCACAGAAGACCCUUUAGCCCUUUCUCCUGCAGAAGUGACCUUGGUAACAUAUGUUGAGAGGGCUAAGUACUGAAUAGCCUGGAUUCCUAAAAGGUUUGGUGCAGCCCCAUGUUCGACACAUAGCAUCAGCAAGAAGUAAACUUCUGUUAGACUAAGCACUGACAUUUGGAGGUUGUUUAUUACAAUAACAAAACCCAGCCAAUCCUGACUAAUCCAGGAGCUGACAUUUUGCUCAGAAAAUAUGGGCCUCUUCUUUCCAAGUCAUAAACUGGUAUUCCUUUUCCAAUAGUUUGAUUCACUCACUAAAUAGUUUAAACUUUUCAUCCUGUCGGCAUACUCUCAGAUGCCUAAAACCAGUAGAAAGAGCUGGGAUUGUACCAAGUUCUGUCUUGUCCUUCACCAUUAUCAAGUAAUUGUCACUAUACUCUAAUAGACAGAAGAACAGAAAAAGCAAGGUUGGUCUUUUCAGUGUCACAUAGGAUCACAUGACAACGAAAGGGGGAGAAACUGUGAAGAGGAAAGAGUAUAGGAUGGCAAAGAAUAACAAGAAAAUGUAGGUGGGAAAAAUCAGAGAAAAGACAGAUACAAAAUGUAGGCACAGUCUUUGGAGUUAGCGGUAGACAGUUGCUUGCAGGCAGGUUCCACUCCUUGUGGUGACACUCAGCAUCUUUGACUUCUGCAUCUAUAUGUCUAGCUUGCCAUGGUACUCAGGGAAAAUUGGCUGAAAGGGUAAAUAAAGGAAGGAGUCUCUCAUCUUUACAGUCUUGGAUGCUUGUGGAGCUAAGUGGUCUGUGACUAUAAAUGGGUAUUCCAUCACACCCUGAGAGACAGUACCUAAAGGGAGAGCAAUAAGUGCGUUUGAAUAGCUCCUCGUAAUCUUUAAACCCAAGUCCUUGAAAAGAGCAACUAUGAGGUCAGAGCAAUAAUUCUUUGUCCUAGAAACAGAGCAUCACGGAUAACUCAGGGCAGUCCAUUUUUAAAAGCUCUUCACAUAAACUGGUUAGAAAUGCCCUUGUUUUGUUUGUUUCUGGCUAGGCAGGAUGGAGGGUACAGUGAGCACGGAGGUGUCUGUGACCAUGAGGUGAGGAGAGGUGGGAAAACGGAGUGGAAUACGAUUUGCUGAGUAACUGUUUUUAAUGCUUUCCAUGGAAGAGAUUAAAAUGUGUGGUGGGGUUGAAGAGGAAAUGCUGCGACUCAUUCACGGGAUACAGCCCUGGGAACCCUUAGUAGAUGAUUCAGCUAGUUACAGGAUAAUUCCUCUUCUCUGAGAUAUGCAGAAUGCCUCUGGUCAAGCUGCCCUCCAAACCUUACUCAAGGAUUCUCACAGGCAAAACUAAUAGAAUCCAGAAGGUAGCUGCACCUCUCUCUGGUGAGGAAAGAACACAUCUAGGUUUCUAGUCUUGGGGAUUUAUUGGUACAUGACGCCAUGACUCUAUGGUUGUGCACAUGGGUCUGUCUGAAAAGCUCAGAGGCCCAAUGCUUGACAUGAGAAUGCAAACACAUUAUCUGUUAGCUGUCGCAUAGCAGCUGCAUGGGGACGGCAACGACAUAGAACAGACAUGAGCCAUGAGCCACAUAGGGAGCCAGUCUCAGAGUCCCAUCAAAACACAGCACAGGCUGGGCUCCAUCCAAACAAGCUACAGUUUGAAAGAAAAUAAAAGUCCCUUGGCUUCAGCAUCUCUUAGGGAUGAACACUAAACUUCCUAGUUUAAAUCCAUCAUUUUAUAUCCGCCAUAGCAAACUAUACUCCUCUCUCAUUGUUUAUCAGAAGAACAAAAUUCUUACUUCCCUAGCUUGACGACCCCAAAUCGUGAGCUUUUCUUCUGUUUCCCCCCUUUGGCCUGACUAGUUUUAUGGCAACUGGAUACAAGCUGAAGUCAUCUGCCAGGAGGGAAUCUCAAAGGGGAAGGAGGAAAAAAGCCUUCAGACUAUAGGCAGGCAAGCCUGUGCUGCAUUUUCUUAAUUAGUGAUUGGUGGGAAGGGCCCAGCCCAUUGUGUGUGGGGACACCGCUGGGCUUCUGGUCUUGGGUUCAGUAAGAAAGAGAGCUGAGCAAGCCAGUAAGCAGCACCCCUCCAUGAUCUCUGCAUCACUCCUGUCUCCAGGUUCUGGCCCAGUGUGAGUUCCUACCUUGAUUUCCCUCAAUGGACUGUGAUUCGGGAUAUGUACGGCAAAUAAACCCUUUCCUCCUUAAGUUGCUUUUGGUCAUGGUGUCUCUUCAUAGUAAUAGUAACCCUAACUGAGACAAAUUCUUUAUUCAAACCCUUUCCCUUAAAUUCUUCUUGAAUUUGUCCUUGUCUUCUUGCCAGGAAUAUACUGAGGUAGUUUAUCUAAUUCCCAACCAUUGCCUUCCUAUAGGAAACAAAGCACACAAACAAUGAAAUACUGACUAUCCCAUAAUCCAUGCAGAAAUGAUGAGUGUUGCAAUAGCAACAGCUUUAAGUGCUGGAGAGUUUAGGUCUCGUGUAAUUUUAUUGUUAUUAAUAAAAUUAAUUUGUUAAAAUGAUGUUGAAGAAUAUAGACUUUGGUUGAAAAGGAGUCUCAUUGGGUAACCCAGAAUAGCUUCAAAUUCAUAAUCCGCUGCCUCAGCCUCUGAAAUGCUGAGGCUGCAGGUCUACAAGUCCCCAGACUAAAUUCUAGUAUUACUUUGAAGCGGAUGUUUCUCCUUUGUCCUCUUUUUCCCU